rnacentral:misc_RNA from 1 species
GUCUGCAUGAUACUACACAUUUAAUAGCAAAUUUUAUAGCAUGAGUAGAAUAAAGACCAGACAGAUGUGAAUAAAUUUCCAUGUUACAAUCAGUUAAGAAGGAAAUGGAGUCUAAAAAUCAUAGUUGCCUUCAAUAAAACUGGUUUAGAGUUGAAUAAACAAGUAUCAUCAUUUUUUGUUUAAGUUAAUGGCUUCUAACGAUCUGAAAAAGGAGUCAUGUAAACUGUAUAGGUUCAUAAGUAACCGAAAAAUCUAAAAGGAAAAAAAUAUUGGCAGCAUCUAGACCAUCCCUAGUUUGAACUCAGACCCUUAUCUGCCACACUUUUGUUCCGUGAACUAUGAAGACUUAAAGAUAUCACUUUGCCACAUGUAGUGAAGAACAUACUU